rnacentral:lncRNA from 1 species
AUUCUGAAAACUGGCAGAGAACAAUUUUCUCAUGAUAUUUAUAUGGCUCAAAGUAAAAUAUAAAAAUGAUGAAAAAUACAUAUUAGGCAUUUACUACAAAAAAAAGAAGGUGAGGUAGAAGUAUGUAAAAACAGAACAAUAGUUCAAAAAGUAACUCUGAUUAGACCCCUAGCCUGGGAACUGCCAUGUGCUGCAGGUGUGGCCCUAAAAAGACAAAAAAAAAAAAAAAGAGUUCUGGUACUGGCUCAUCGGUAAUGAACCACAAGGACGUGGGUUCAAUCCCUGGCCUCGCACAGUGGGUCAAGGAUGUGGCAUUGAGGUUGCAGACAUGGCUCUGAUCUCAUGUGGCUGUGGCUGUGGUAUAGGCCGGCAGCUGCAGCUCCAAUUCAACCCCUCGCCUGGGGACCUCCAUAUGCCACAGGUGCAGCCCUAAACAGACCAAAAAAACCCCAAAAAACACAAAAAAAACNGUUACCGUCUUCAACAAAGUUGUAUUUACAAGCUUUCUGUAUGUGUAUACUAAUUAUCAUAGCAUUACCCUGUAGGUAGCUCCACGUGUUCUUGGGUGUAUGCAUUUGGGACAACUGGUCCUGAGACGGGAGCAUUUCCUCCAACAGGUCUGUGACUUAGAGUGGGAUAAAGAAGCAGUAGUUCAGCUCAGGACGCAAAGAAAACAAUGAAACCGAACUAGAGAGGGGAAGAAAGAAGAUAAUGCUUUAAAGCAUGAAUGAAUUGAUAAUACAAGAGAAAAGCUUUAGAUCUGAUAGAAAAAAAUAAAAGCACACCAUUCUAGUCUUUAAGGCCAAUGGAGCUACAGCCGUCUAUAGGGAAGCAUGACCAUGUCAAGAAGUAAGAAUGAAGCUAAGGAGAAAAAUAAGAAUGGGGGCCAGUGAAGGCAGGUGUUGGAGGAAUAGGGCAUGACAUUCUGAGAAUGGGUGACCACCAUCAGACUGCAGUAAUGGCAAUGGAGAGGAGGCUGGUGGAGAUUUAAAAAUGCUGACAGAUCUUGUGGCUGAACCAACAGAGGGGAAGGUGGGGAUGAAUCCAGAACUUCAAGCUUGGAUGAUGGUGGGUGUUUUUGCUCCUAUUGGUGAUGCCUCAGUAGAACCACUAAUUACUUCUUGGUCUUUCCUUUCAGAGUAUGUAUAGGUUAAAUCCUUGGCUUCACUGUCUGUCGCUUUAUCUGUUCUUUAUGACUAUUAUGAAAUCCACAGGAGGUCAGCUUCACCUGUCACUUUCAGAGGAGAGGACGUGUUUUAGAAAAGUACUUAUUAUUUCUGAAAAGUGCAGAUUUACGGAGGCCUGUGUCAGACAAGAUACAAGUCAGUGACGGCUUAAGAUACUAUUGACUAUGUCUUUCAAAAUUCGCCUGAGGUUAAAAAAAAAUCAUCCAAGCUUGGAAGCUUCCGUAACCCUUCCUCCCAGGAGCUAAGGCACAGAGAUUAAGAUACAUGUUGUAAAUAAGGGAUUUAAAUGUUCAGAACUAGACGAGUUGGGUUAGUCUUUUCAUUUCUCUUAAUUGCAUAUGUCAGUACUUUUGGGAGGAAAGAAAUGUUAAAUUCUGGGGAGCCUCAAAACAAUUUUCUACUUUUUAUUAUGGAAAAAUUGAAAGCAAUGUCAAAAGCUAGUUUGUUGAAUUAGACAAAUUGUUUUUGCUAUGUUCCUUUUAAGAACUGACUAGCCAUUUUAAAGGUAUUUUCUAGACUAGAAGGUUAUAGUAGAAAAGUCAAUGAAAAGUCAGAUUUCUUAGUUAAGCUCUCGUAAGACAAAAAUGUAUUCUUGUAUAUCACACAUAAUCUAUAUGCCUGGAUUUUUUUCUUUUUUUUUUUGAGAAAAUUCUGAAGUUCUUUGAGGAAAACUUGGAAUAUACUGUAUAUACAUUGUGACAAAUCAAAAUUUUUGUCUCAGCUUUUUAUUUUGUCUCAGCUUUUUAUUUUGCCUUUACUGUUUAUAGUAGUAUCUCAUUUUUCCCCCUAAACAAAUAGUCUUGACUACAGACUGUAAUGUCAGAAUACCCUUCCGAGUGUCUUGACCAGUGAGUCCAUCACUGUUGGAACCAGUGCUGGGAGUGUGUGGUAAAAAUUACUUAGGGAGUGUUUUUUAAAAACAUUAUUUCCCAUACCUCACCCCGCAAGGUUCUGAUUUAGUGUUUGAGCUGAAGGAUAUCCAUGGCUGAGAGUGUUUACAAACCUCCCUGGAUGAUGCAAAUGUUAGUCUUUGGAAACUAUUUUCAAACAUUCAUCUUCUUUGUCCAAAUUUUAUAAAUUCAUACGACAGACUUAAACAGACACACACACAGAGAAAUAAAUAGAAAGCUUCUUUUGAUUUUCCAUGGUGUUUGUCUGCUGAAUGGAGCAGUUUUGAAAACUGCUGUUGUUAACCAUCCAUCGUCUUUGUUCAUCCUUUGCAGAUUCAUUACAAGACUGAGCAACCCUCAUAAAAAGAAUCGCCUUUUCUGACCUUUCAUAGUAUUAUAUUUAAUUUUUAUUUUUAAAUUUUUAUUUUUUAAAAUUAUAGUUGGGAGUUCCCGUUGUGGCUCAGUGGUAACAAACCUGACUAGUAUCUAUGAGAAUGCAGGUUCAAUCCCUGGCCUCUCUCAGUGGGUUAAGGAUCCAGUGUUGCUGUGAGCCGUGGUGUAAGUUAUAGAUGUAGCUUGGAUCCUGCGUUGCUGUGGCUGUGGCGUAGGUGGGAGCUGCAGCUCUGAUUUGACCCUCAGCCUGGGAACGUCCAUAUGCCACAGGUGUGGCCCUAAAAAGAAAAGAAAAAAAUCCCACAAAAACAAAGCAAGUGGUUGAUUUACAAUGUUGUGCCAGUUUCUGCUGUAUAGCAAAGUAACCCAGUCAUACAUACACAUAUAUUCUCUUUUUAUAUUAUUUUCCUAUAUGUAUUUUAUUUUUAUUUACGUUGAUCCUUUCUUGAAUUAUCUUCCGUUAUGGUCUAUCCCAAGAGACUGGAUAUAGUUCCCUAUGCUAUACAGUAGGGCCUCAUUGCAUAUCCAUUCUAAAUUGAUCUUUCACGAUAUUUAGAUGAUAGUAGCAGUUUCUUAAAAUACAAUUGGACUAUUGGAUGAUGAAAACCCUUAAAAGCUUUGCCACUUCUUGGAGGAAGCUGGACCUUUCUUAAAACGUUACACCAUCCACCUGUGGUGAUUUUUAGCUCUGAUAUGCUUUUCUUAAAAUUUCCCUUCACCUACCUUGUACCCAGAAUAACUCACAAAUUUAGAAAUGCAUAUCUCGUUAGAAAGGCUAGGGCUUGUUAAAAGGAUCGAUGGAAUUUUCUGAGUAGAGUCUGGAGAGAGCCUAUUUAGCCUGCAUAUGUGAGCUGAUGAUUUCAAUUUGCAAUCAAUAUAGUGACGUAGGUGACACAAACACAGCUUCGCACCCUCUCCGACUGCGGAGCUGUCUUAGGUUGGCAUCCAUGGUGCAGUGACCAAAGGGUGUUGGGACAUCAUAGUCUGUCCUGAAUUCCUUUACCAAAUCCAAUGAUUUUUAAAGGUCAAAGAAAAUUCAACUUUCCCAAUUAAAAAUGAAACAGAACAGAAUCCUUAAGGAAAGAAUGACAGUGUUUUGAGGCAUUUGUAGAAUCAGAAAAAUAAAAAAAUUACUGCUUUUCCUUGGGACUUAGGAAGUGGACUCAAUAUAAAAAGUGGGGAACCAUCUUUAUUUUUUAAUCCAUGUGUCGACAAAAGGGAACAAGAAAAGACUGAGCUUGGAGAUGGCCCUUUGAAAUGUUUGGCCUCCUCUGUUUGGUGGCCCAUCUUGGGUGGCCUUGGCUAUUAUGCUGAGACUGGACCACGCAUGUAACAGUGGUUUUGCAGGGCAAAUUGCAUCCCAGUUUGGGUCAGGCCAAGAUGUAGAUGAAUAAGCACCCAAAUGAAAAAUGCAUUUGGCGAGGGGGAGGCCGAGAGACAUAGGAAGAUAUUUUGCUACCGCGAACGGAGGCCAAAUUUUAACGGUGUCGUAGUUUACCUGCUACAGUGAUGUGCUCCGCUGUGUGGCUCAGGCUGACCUAGGAUUCAGGAAGCUGCCUGCCUUUCCUCCACCCAUAGGAACCCAUUAGAAAAAGGAUGCCUUGCUUUGAGUCCAUUAAAGUUCACGAACAAAGGAUACUCAGGAAAUAGGAAAGGUUUGCCACCACACCACCAGCCCAACCCUGGCACUGGCAUCUGGGUGCUGCCUUGCUGUAAUUCAGUUUCACCAUGUAGGCUUGGGAGAGGCAAGAACUUGGAGAUUCCUCAUCUCUGUUUGCUGGGAACCAGAAGGUUCUGUUCGCAAAGCCUGGGAAAGUUCAGAUGGAAAGACGUAGACAGCGGAAUGCCAUGGGGUAACAGUCAGAAAGGGACCCGGGGUAAGGCAUUUACUUUCUCUAAACCUCAGUUUCAUCUGUCAAAUAGGAAUAACAGAGACCCCUGCCUCACUGGAGCAAAGGGAGCCAUGAAUGAGACAAUCCACUCAAAGCUCAAAGCCUCGUGUAUCCUAAACCCUCAUCAAAGUGAGGGUUUAGUGUCAUUGGUUUAUGCUUAAAAAGGAUGAUUCUCAUAGGAAUCAAAGGAUGGUUUACUUGUUUUAAAAACAUUACAGUGAAAUUCAGCAUUGUGGCAAAACAUUUGAAUCGUACAAAAGUUCUUGAAGUUAAAAAGUAAGAGUCAAAUUCUCUGCCCAUUAUCUCCCUCUCUCCCCUCCUUCUGUUCUCUCAACAAAACAGACUCCCUGGGUUCCAGACUUGCUUGUAGUUCAUGUGGAUCUGAGCACGUUGGCCUCAGACUUUGAAUCUGUACAAUGGGGGUAGUGUUAAAACUAUCUCCAAGAGGUGUUAAGACCUUGGAAUUAUGCCUGGCACAGAGCCAGCUUUCAAUACUUGUUUGCUCUCAUCUUUCAAG